rnacentral:tRNA from 1 species
GAAAUCGGUAGACGCUACGGACUUAGAAAAAAAAUCCGUUGGCUUUAUUGACCGUGAGGGUUCAAGUCCCUCUACCCCCA